ensembl:lncRNA
GUGUUUUGCUGCAAAUAAGCUCUUAGCCUGUAUUAGAUGCAAGAAUAGAACCAUAGAAUUACAUAUUAUUUUUUAUAUAUAGUUUUUAUAUAUUAAUAUAAUCUUUGCAAAUGUAGAGAUUAUGCACACAAUAGUAAAAAUUGGCAUUUGGAAGGACUAGCAAAGGAUAUGUCAUACACUAAGGAGAAUCUCGGAGCAGCAGUGACAUUGCCAUGACAGUCAGCCAGGGGCAUCUAAGACCACCUGGGUCACAUUGCCAUGCUUACAUUGCCAUCAUGAAAGAUGCUGCCAAAUAGUUUUCUAAAUCAGUCCCAAAUGUGGCCAGGCCUCCAUGUUGGGCCAGUCAAGAGCUGUCAGCCAACAGAUCACAAGCACUUGAAGGCAAUAGAUGCUCCCAUUGACUCAUAUGAGUCCAGAAGAUUAUGUUUUCCUUAGCAGCAUGGUGAGUGAAUCCACAACAACUACUUCAUGUCAGUUCAGUGUGCCUUGAAGAGUGUUGAGGCUACACAGUGACCCAUCUGCAAGCUUUCCUGGGCUACUUAUUGGCAUCG